rnacentral:rRNA from 1 species
UACAGAGGGGGCAAGCGUUGUUCGGAAUUACUGGGCGUAAAGGGCGCGUAGGCGGCCUGCUAAGUCGAACGUGAAAUCCCCGGGCUCAACCCGGGAACUGCGUCCGGUACUGGCAGGCUUGAAUCCGGGAGAGGGAUGCGGAAUUCCAGGUGUAGCGGUGAAAUGCGUAGAUAUCUGGAGGAACACCGGUGGCGAAGGCGGCAUCCUGGACCGGCAUUGACGCUGAGGCGCGAAAGCCAGGGGAGCAAACGGG